UUGCUCAUUUUGGCAGCCCAUAUUCUAAAAUUGAAAUGAUAUAGAAAAGACUGGCCCCUGUGCAAGGAUGACAGACAAAUUCAUGAAGUGUCACAUAUUUUG
ensembl:snRNA U6 U6 spliceosomal RNA